CACAUGCAAGUCGAACGGUAGAGGGGGCAACCCCUUGAGAGUGGCGAACGGGUGAGUAAUAUAUCGGAACGUGCCCAGUCGUGGGGGAUAACGUAGUGAAAAUUACGCUAAUUCCGCAUACGAUCUAAGGAUGAAAGCGGGGGAUCGCAAGACCUCGCGCGACUGGAGCGGCCGAUAUCAGAUUAGGUAGUUGGUAGGGUAAAGGCCUACCAAGCCAACGAUCUGUAGCUGGUCUGAGAGGACGACCAGCCACACUGGAACUGAGACACGGUCCAGACUCCUACGGGAGGCAGCAGUGGGGAAUUUUGGACAAUGGGCGAAAGCCUGAUCCAGCCAUUCCGCGUGCAGGAUGAAGGCCCUCGGGUUGUAAACUGCUCUUGUACAGAACGAAAAGGUCUCUAUUAAUACUGGGGGCUCAUGACGGUACUGUAAGAAUAAGCACCGGCUAACUACGUGCCAGCAGCCGCGGUAAUACGUAGGGUGCAAGCGUUAAUCGGAAUUACUGGGCGUAAAGCGUGCGCAGGCGGUUAUAUAAGUCAGAUGUGAAAUCCCCGGGCUCAACCUGGGACCUGCAUUUGAGACUGUAUAGCUAGAGUACGGUAGAGGGGGAUGGAAUUCCGCGUGUAGCAGUGAAAUGCGUAGAUAUGCGGAGGAACACCGAUGGCGAAGG
rnacentral:rRNA from 1 species